GAGAAUAGAGAAACUGAAGAAGAAUAGAUAGAGAGAGUGAAAAAGGAAGAAACGAAGAGAUUAAAAAAAAAGAAACCAAAAGAGGGAGAGUUGAGAACAAAAGAACAAAAAAGAAGAGACAAAAACUAGAAGAAAGACUAGGAGAAAUAGAAGCAGUAAAGGAAAAAAGGGAAAAAUAGAAAGGGGAAGGAAAUAACUUGGCGAGUUUGAGUUCGGGAUCUUGUUUGAGUUUUCUGGUUCGACGUAAGAGCUUUUGUUUUAUUUAGUUCGUCAUACAGGUUCUUAUUU
rnacentral:lncRNA from 1 species